rnacentral:rRNA from 1 species
ACCCUAUUAUUUUAAAUGUAAAUUUUUACUAUGAUUAUUAAUAGUUAAGAUCUUUAAAAUCAAAAGAUUUCGGCGGUAUUUUAGUCUUUUCAGAGGAACCUGUUUUUUAAUCGAUAAUCCACGAUUAGUCGUACUUUUCCUUUAAGUUUGCAUAUCGUCGUAAAAUAAAUAUUUUAUUAGAAUUACAAUAUUUUUGAUUUAAUAUUAUAGGAUAAUUUCAGAUCAAGGUGUAGUUUAUGGAGAAGAUAAAAUGGGUUACAUUAUAUUUAUUUGUGGUUUAUUAUUUUAAAAGUUUUAUUAAAUUGGA